rnacentral:rRNA from 1 species
UGCAGUCGAGCGGACAGAUGGGAGCUUGCUCCCUGAUGUUAGCGGCGGACGGGUGAGUAACACGUGGGUAACCUGCCUGUAAGACUGGGAUAACUCCGGGAAACCGGGGCUAAUACCGGAUGGUUGUUUGAACCGCAUGGUUCAAACAUAAAAGGUGGCUUCGGCUACCACUUACAGAUGGACCCGCGGCGCAUUAGCUAGUUGGUGAGGUAAUGGCUCACCAAGGCAACGAUGCGUAGCCGACCUGAGAGGGUGAUCGGCCACACUGGGACUGAGACACGGCCCAGACUCCUACGGGAGGCAGCAGUAGGGAAUCUUCCGCAAUGGACGAAAGUCUGACGGAGCAACGCCGCGUGAGUGAUGAAGGUUUUCGGAUCGUAAAGCUCUGUUGUUAGGGAAGAACAAGUACCGUUCGAAUAGGGCGGUACCUUGACGGUACCUAACCAGAAAGCCACGGCUAACUACGUGCCAGCAGCCGCGGUAAUACGUAGGUGGCAAGCGUUGUCCGGAAUUAUUGGGCGUAAAGGGCUCGCAGGCGGUUUCUUAAGUCUGAUGUGAAAGCCCCCGGCUCAACCGGGGAGGGUCAUUGGAAACUGGGGAACUUGAGUGCAGAAGAGGAGAGUGGAAUUCCACGUGUAGCGGUGAAAUGCGUAGAGAUGUGGAGGAACACCAGUGGCGAAGGCGACUCUCUGGUCUGUAACUGACGCUGAGGAGCGAAAGCGUGGGGAGCGAACAGGAUUAGAUACCCUGGUAGUCCACGCCGUAAACGAUGAGUGC